CCUACGGGAGGCAGCAGUCGGGAAUAUUGCGCAAUGGAGGAAACUCUGACGCAGUGACGCCGCGUGCAGGAAGAAGGUUUUCGGAUUGUAAACUGCUUUAGUCAGUGAAGAAAAAUGACAGUACCUGUAGAAUAAGCUACGGCUAACUACGUGCCAGCAGCCGCGGUAAUACGUAGGGAGCAAGCGUUAUCCGGACUUAUUGGGUGUAAAGGGUGCGUAGACGGGGAAGCAAGUUAGUUGUGAAAUCCCCCGGCUUAACUGGGGGACUGCAACUAAAACUAGUUCCCUUGAGUGCUGGAGAGGAUAGUGGAAUUCCGAGUGUAGCGGUGAAAUGCGUAGAUAUUAGGAGGAACACCAGUGGCGAAGGCGACUUUCUGGGCAGUAACUGACGUUGAGGCACGAAAGUGUGGGGAGCAAACAGGAUUAGAUACCCGUGUAGUC
rnacentral:rRNA from 1 species